CCUCUAAUCGCAAAUCCGCCCAACGCCCACGCCAGGUGCCUUCUCCUCGCCUUGGACCGCCCAGCGGUGAAUUUUGCCGUCGGGCGGUUUCUUGACUCUUCCUUUCUUCAAUUUUCUUCCUCUAUCUUGAGUCUAAGACCUUCAUCUUCAACCCCAAUCUUCACUUUCAUCAAAAUCACUACAAAACAAUGCAAAACAAGCAUAAUAUCGCUAAAAACAGCUUUUGACUCUCGACUGACUCAUUUAUUGAGUUUUACUUGAUUCUAAGCUCGUUCUAAGUCUUAAAGGGUGUAAUUUGGUCUAAAUUGACAUAUGAAAAUAACUGUUUUUCAACCGUUAUCA
rnacentral:lncRNA from 1 species